GACGAACGCUGGCGGCGUGCUUAACACAUGCAAGUCGAACGAAGAGCGAUGGAAGCUUGCUUCUCUCAAUCUUAGUGGCGAACGGGUGAGUAACGCGUAAUCAACCUGCCCUUCAGAGGGGGACAACAGUUGGAAACGACUGCUAAUACCGCAUACGAUCUAAUCUCGGCAUCGAGGAUAGAUGAACGGUGGCCUCUACAUGUAAGCUAUCACUGACGGAGGGGUUUGCGUCUGAUUAGCUAGUUGGAGGGGUAACGGCCCACCAAGGCGAUGCUCAGUAGCCGGUCUGAGAGGAUGAACGGCCACAUUGGGACUGAGACACGGCCCAGACUCCUACGGGAGGCAGCAGUGGGGAAUCUUCCGCAAUGGACGAAAGUCUGACGGAGCAACGCCGCGUGAGUGAUGACGGCCUUCGGGUUGUAAAGCUCUGUUAAUCGGGACGAAAGGCCUUCUUGCGAAUAGUGAGAAGGAUUGACGGUACCGGAAUAGAAAGCCACGGCUAACUACGUG
rnacentral:rRNA from 1 species